CCACCCGUAGCUCAACAGCAGAGCACUCGGCCGAUAACCGAGCGACGGAGGUGCGAUCCCUCCCGGGUGGA
rnacentral:tRNA from 1 species